GAUCACCUAAGUGAUGUAACCCUUGUCUAGGUUCAGCCUACUGGGGAUUUCUGACAUACCUAUGCACUGAUCACCGAGGUGAUGUAAAUCAUUUCCAGGCUUCUUGUACAGGGGACAUUGUGAUAUAUCUCUGCACUGAUCACGCAAAUGAUGCAAAUCUUCUCUAGGCUCCACAGGGAGGGGACAUUGUGCCAUAUUUCUGAACUGCUCAUCCAGGAUAUGUAACUAUUCUCCAGGCUUUGACUAACGAGCGUCGGAAGGUGUUGGGAGAGCCUCAACAGGAAUUUCAGGGACAGAAAAGGGCACAGAGAGGCCAGCGGGCUCCCUUGCACGUCAGCCGGAGUGCGCAAUGAGCGCAGGUCUAGCCAGGAGGCCGGCAAGGAGAGCUAGAGGUCUG
rnacentral:lncRNA from 1 species